rnacentral:lncRNA from 1 species
CUUGGUUGGUGAUCAUACCAGCUGAUGAGCACCAGCCAACAGAGAAUUGGUGUCUUUAUACUUCCUCUUUGUGGUCUAGAGGCAUGAAACGGUUUGUGAAGAGAGGGGUGGUAUGUUAAACUGUCUUCCUGUGCCACGCCACGCUGAACAGAAGCCACUGUGUAAAACCUUUGUAGCCAGAAGGGGUCGAAUGUGGGCCAUAUUGGCCACCAAAGGCUUCCUGGAGAAGGCAGAGUGUACACAAACCUGCAGAAUCCCUAGGCUGUGAGCUCUCAACACGUGAAGCCUGGAAGGAGGCACACCAC